CCUGUCUCUCUUGUGUCCUAGUGGUAAAACCAUGGAGGAGGCUGGAGGUGGGAGGAUGUCCUUAUUACAAAUAAAAAACCCAAGGCAGGUUCGACUGAUGCUUCACACUUACAUAGCUCACAGUAGGACCCUUGAGCUUGCCAAACAAAACAGCAAAGAUAGUAAUUAAGGCAAAUAACCUUUAACUUUAUGCCACAGUGAAAUAAAAUACUCCGAGGCUGGUGUUUCAAUUGGUGCAAGAUUCUGAAGAGAGCCGAACACUCCCUCUUCCUUUUUGGGACAUGAAUUCCCCAGCUGAAAAAAUGCAUCACUUGGCCUUACCUGCCCUACUCCAUCACCACCUCCUUCUCAGGGAUGUUGUGACAAAGAGGUUUGUUUUGACGUCUGAGGCGAAGAGAUCUUCCCAGGAGGAGGCCGAGGGAACACUACAGGCGAAAUGGCACCCUACCCUCAUGUCAACAGCCUCUCGAUUUAGCUGAUGACCGUUUUUGUCUCAUCCAAGAAAACUUCAGAGUCGGUCUAUGCACCCACUCUCCCAACCCACCCAGCCAGCCAGGAUGCUCUUCUGGAGCUAGCCCAGCUGACAGAAUCAGAGCAAACCACCCCCUGGAGGACACUCCGGAGGUCAUCGCAGCCAGCCCCCUGCCUCCAGGCAGGUCUCCCAUAAAUCGUCCUCGACAGAGACUGCCUCGUUGGAGGCCCUUUGCUCGGAGCACCCUGAGCAGCUGAGUAAAGUUUUGUGCUGACUCCGUAG
rnacentral:lncRNA from 1 species